AGUGGCGAACGGGUGAGUAAUGCAUCGGAACGUACCGUGUAGUGGGGGAUAACGUAGCGAAAGUUACGCUAAUACCGCAUACGCCCUGAGGGGGAAAGUGGGGGACCGCAAGGCCUCACGCUAUAUGAGCGGCCGAUGUCGGAUUAGCUAGUUGGUAGGGUAAAGGCCUACCAAGGCGACGAUCCGUAGCGGGUCUGAGAGGAUGAUCCGCCACACUGGGACUGAGACACGGCCCAGACUCCUACGGGAGGCAGCAGUGGGGAAUUUUGGACAAUGGGCGCAAGCCUGAUCCAGCCAUGCCGCGUGAGUGAAGAAGGCCUUCGGGUUGUAAAGCUCUUUCAGACGGAAAGAAAUCUCUCGGGAUAACACCCUGGGAGGAUGACGGUACCGUAAGAAGAAGCACCGGCUAACUACGUGCCAGCAGCCGCGGUAAUACGUAGGGUGCGAGCGUUAAUCGGAAUUACUGGGCGUAAAGCGUGCGCAGGCGGUGAUGUAAGACAGAUGUGAAAUCCCCGGGCUCAACCUGGGAACUGCGUUUGUGACUGCAUCACUCGAGUACGGCAGAGGGAGGUGGAAUUCCGCGUGUAGCAGUGAAAUGCGUAGAUAUGCGGAGGAACACCGAUGGCGAGGCAGCCUCCUGGGCCAGUACUGACGCUCAUGCA
rnacentral:rRNA from 1 species